GACAGAGGGUGCAAACGUUGUUCGGAUUUACUGGGCGUAAAGGGCGCGUAGGCGGCCACGACAAGUCAGUUGUGAAAUCUCUGGGCUUAACUCAGAACGGUCAACUGAUACUGUCGGGCUAGAGUGCAGAAGGGGCAACUGGAAUUCUCGGUGUAGCGGUGAAAUGCGUAGAUAUCGAGAGGAACACCUGCGGCGAAGGCGGGUUGCUGGGCUGACACUGACGCUGAGGCGCGAAAGCUAGGGGAGCGAACGGG
rnacentral:rRNA from 1 species